GAUGAACGCUGGCGGCGUGCCUAAUACAUGCAAGUCUAGCGAAUGGAUUAAGAGCUUGCUCUUAUGAAGUUAGCGGCGGACGGGUAAGUAACACGUGGGUAACCUGCCCAUAAGACUGGGAUAACUCCGGGAAACCGGGGCUAAUACCGGAUAACAUUUUGAACCGCAUGGUUCGAAAUUGAAAGGCGGCUUCGGCUGGCACUUAUGGAUGGACCCGCGUCGCAUUAGCUAGUUGGUGAGGUAACGGCUCACCAAGGCAACGAUGCGUAGCCGGCCUGAGAAGGUGACCGGCCAGACUGGGACCGAGAAACGGCCCAGACACCUACGGGAGGCAGCAGUAGGGAAUCUUCCGCAAUGGACGAAAGUCUGACGGAGCAACGCCGCGGGAGUGAUGAAGGCUUUCGGGUCGUAAAACUCUGUUGUUAGGGAAGAACAAGUGCUAGUUGAAUAAGCUGACACCUUGACGGUACCUAACCAGAAAGCCACGGCUAACUACGUGCCGGCCGCCGCAGUAA
rnacentral:rRNA from 1 species